GAUGAACGCUGGCGGCGUGCCUAAUACAUGCAAGUCGAGCGAACAGGUGAGGGGUUUGCUCCUUGGAUGAUUUGCGCACAGGUGAGUGAAACAUGUGGAAAAUGCAUCGAAACGAGUGAUAACUAUUGGAGAAAAUGGCUCAAACCCCGGAAAAUUUAUUGAUGCAUAUGGUUUGAUAGUAAAAUACGGUUGUAUUGCUACCUAUAGAUGCUUCCGCGCCGUAUUAGCUAGUUGGUGAGGUAACGGCUUACCAAGGCAACGAUGCGUAGCCGACCUGAGAGGGUGAUCGGCCCCACUGGAACGAGGACCCGGCCCAGACUCCUACGGGGGGCAGCAGAAGGGAAUCUUCCGCAAUGGGCGAAAGCUUGACGGGGCAACGCCGCGUGAGUGAUGAAGGUCUCCGGUCCGUAAGACUCUGUUAAUAGGGAGAAACAGAUGUGUAAGUGACUAUGCACGUCUUGACGGUACCUAAUCAGAAAGGGACGGCUAACUACGUG
rnacentral:rRNA from 1 species